rnacentral:misc_RNA from 1 species
GUUUUUUGUCUGUUUGGAUAGGGGAGCAAGAAAAAAUCAAUUCUCUCUCUGUAUCUUUUUUCCUCUCAAAACCCACUCAUUUACUCUCCUCUAGAGGUUAUUAUAGAUAUUAAUGGGUAUUGUAGAUUCCAUAGUGUGGCAACUUGAAGCUAGCCCUUUUCAAUCCCAGCUGUUCUUAUAUGUGAAAGCAAGUAGUUGUUGUUGUUGUUGCUGAUGGGACCAAUUGACCCAUCUUGCUCUUGGCCAUCUCCUUUCCUGUUAUUUUCCGGA